UACGGGGGGGGCAAGCGUUGUUCGGAAUUACUGGGCGUAAAGGGUUCGUAGGCGGCCAACUAAGUCGGACGUGAAAUCCCUCGGCUUAACCGGGGAACUGCGUCCGAUACUGGAUGGCUGGAGGUUGGGAGAGGGAUGCGGAAUUCCAGGUGUAGCGGUGAAAUGCGUAGAUAUCUGGAGGAACACCGGUGGCGAAGGCGGCAUCCUGGACCAAUUCUGACGCUGAGGAGCGAAAGCCAGGGGAGCAAACGGG
rnacentral:rRNA from 1 species